rnacentral:rRNA from 1 species
GUACGCACUGGCCCACUGAUUGAUGGUGCUUGCACCUGAUUGACGACGUAUCACCAGUGAGUGGCGGACGGGUGAGUAACACGUAGGUAACCUGCCCCGGAGCGGGGGAUAACAUUUGGAAACAGAUGCUAAUACCGCAUAACAACGAAAGCCACAUGGCUUUUGUUUGAAAGAUGGCUUUGGCUAUCACUCUGGGAUGGACCUGCGGUGCAUUAGCUAGUUGGUAAGGUAACGGCUUACCAAGGCGAUGAUGCAUAGCCGAGUUGAGAGACUGAUCGGCCACAAUGGAACUGAGACACGGUCCAUACUCCUACGGGAGGCAGCAGUAGGGAAUCUUCCACAAUGGGCGCAAGCCUGAUGGAGCAACACCGCGUGAGUGAAGAAGGGUUUCGGCUCGUAAAGCUCUGUUGUUGGAGAAGAACGUGCGUGAGAGUAACUGUUCACGCAGUGACGGUAUCCAACCAGAAAGUCACGGCUAACUACGUGCCAGCAGCCGCGGUAAUACGUAGGUGGCAAGCGUUAUCCGGAUUUAUUGGGCGUAAAGCGAGCGCAGGCGGUUGCUUAGGUCUGAUGUGAAAGCCUUCGGCUUAACCGAAGAAGUGCAUCGGAAACCGGGCGACUUGAGUGCAGAAGAGGACAGUGGAACUCCAUGUGUAGCGGUGGAAUGCGUAGAUAUAUGGAAGAACACCAGUGGCGAAGGCGGCUGUCUGGUCUGCAACUGACGCUGAGGCUCGAAAGC